CUUUAUUUCAUUCUCAUUAAAACUUUGCUGAGAAAUCUAAGGUAUUGUCUAAGCUUCACAUCUAAAUAAAAUGAGUCAGGAUUAUUUAAUAUAACUAAGUAUGUUUUCUGUUUUUGUUUUCUGCAAAAAGGUUUAUUACAGGAAAAUUAAUGUACUGGUGUAGGGCCAUAUAUAUGGGAAAUUGAUGCCAUAUAUAUUUGUAUGAACAGAGAAAUAGAGAGGAUAUAAAGAAGCCAUUGUAAGGAACAUCCUCUACCAGUAUAGUUUGGCAUCUUCUAUUAUUGGAUGACUACUUAGAGGAUGAAGUGACUGAUCCAGGCUAAUAUAGCCAGUACAUGUCAGAAGAAAAACAUGAUCCCAGUUUGAUAACACCACCCAAGAGAAUUCAUCAGAAUCACGGCAGACCUGAGAAAGAACAUAAGAUGUGUUCAACUCCGGAAGAAUGUAGGUAUAGUUGGAUUCGGAUCACGUGAAAUCUUGAAUUUAAAGUGCAAUGGUCUCUUUUAUAAAUAAGAAAGAUAAAACCAAAAGUUCAGUAACUUUCCCAAAGUUACACACAUGGUAAAUGGAAGAACGAGAUUUCAAACCCUGGUCCUAAGUCCUCUGGAUCUCCAUCCAGGCUUCUUUCUGAUGAGAUCAUGUUUCUAUGUUGCCUUCAGGAACAGGGUCUGAGAAGCCACAGUGACAAAGAGUAGUAGAAGCUGUUGAUCAGUAAUAAAGACUACCUAUGAAAUGGGCUGCCA
rnacentral:lncRNA from 1 species